rnacentral:misc_RNA from 1 species
GAAACUCUCACCCCUGUGAUGUCAAAGUCGCAGAUGGUGGAUUUGGAUGCUGCCGUUGUUGGCUCGUCUUGAAAUGCAUUAGCCGUGCGUGUCGUGCCAGCGCCUCUCGGUGUGAUAAUUAUCAACGCCGUUCAGAGUGCCAGUGCCCAAGACCGUGGCUCAUAGCCGUCUUCGGACAAUUCACUUUAACG